UACGAAGGGGGCUAGCGUUGCUCGGAAUCACUGGGCGUAAAGCGCACGUAGGCGGCUUUUUAAGUCAGGGGUGAAAUCCUGGAGCUCAACUCCAGAACUGCCUUUGAUACUGAGAAGCUUGAGUCCGGGAGAGGUGAGUGGAACUGCGAGUGUAGAGGUGAAAUUCGUAGAUAUUCGCAAGAACACCAGUGGCGAAGGCGGCUCACUGGCCCGGUACUGACGCUGACGGUGCGAAAGCGU
rnacentral:rRNA from 1 species